UAAGUUGUGGCCUAGUGUAAAGGCGUUUGGCCGUUAACCAAAAGAUAGCAUGAUCAAUACUUGUCAACUUAG
rnacentral:tRNA from 1 species